rnacentral:rRNA from 1 species
UACGGAGGGGGCUAGCGUUAUUCGGAAUUACUGGGCGUAAAGCGCGCGUAGGCGGCUUUGUAAGUUAGAGGUGAAAGCCCGGGGCUCAACCCCGGAACUGCCUUUAAGACUGCAUCGCUUGAAUCCGGGAGAGGUGAGUGGAAUUCCGAGUGUAGAGGUGAAAUUCGUAGAUAUUCGGAAGAACACCAGUGGCGAAGGCGGCUCACUGGACCGGUAUUGACGCUGAGGUGCGAAAGCGUGGGGAGCAAACAGG